UCUCCUGUCAACCUUCGAUUCCGGCGACCAGCGGCGGCGCUGGGUGACGAAUGGCAGCCUCCCCUCCGAUGAUCUCCAGCGACGACAGGCGGAGCCGCCGCUUCUCACGACGGUGGCGGUGGUGGGAUUUCUUAGUGGUGCCGGUGAUGAGAUCCGAUGACGACCAAGACAGUGAGACAAAUCGAGGAGAGAUAGAGAUCGGAGAGAGUUGGAAGAGAGAGAGGAAGAACGGCGGAGAAGGAGCGGCCCCGCCGCUCAUGGCGGCGGCCACGGUAAUACAUCAUCCCCGAAAUGAGACCUCUUCUCUCUAUCUCUCCACCCGCCGCCGAGUCCCAGUCAUCUUUUUCCCAUCUUCGCCGAAAAACGAGCGGAACAGAAGACGUUUCACCUGAGACGUUUCAGGUUCUGAGACGUUUCACCUGAGACGUUUCAGCACUUGUGGACACGUGGCUUUCGGUGGAUGGCUGAUGAGGAAACGUCUUUGAGACGGGUGGGAAUUCGUGAAACCCCUCUAUGAGACGUUUCAGUUGGCUA